UACGGGGGGGGCUAGCGUUGUUCGGAAUUACUGGGCGUAAAGCGCACGUAGGCGGCUUUGCAAGUUAGAGGUGAAAGCCCAGGGCUCAACCCUGGAAUUGCCUUUAAAACUGCAUCGCUAGAAUUGUGGAGAGGUAAGUGGAAUUCCGAGUGUAGAGGUGAAAUUCGUAGAUAUUCGGAAGAACACCAGUGGCGAAGGCGACUUACUGGACACAUAUUGACGCUGAGGUGCGAAAGCGUGGGGAGCAAACAGG
rnacentral:rRNA from 1 species